GGAGAAUCUGAGACUUCUGAAGAGUUUCUUGCUUCUUUCCUGUGGGGCAGUGACUCCACUUCCCAGCAGUAAUGGAAUAUCCUGAAUUAGCUACAUUAAUGUUAGAACCAUUUGGACCUCACCCAGGACUUCAACUACAUUGUGAGUAACUCCUGGACGACUGGCACAGAAGAAGGCACAAGGCAAAUACCCAUCUCUGUACACCCUGUGCUACUGUGUCAUGUGCUGCUCCAGGCAACUCCAAUGGAUUGGCCACCCUGGCCAAUGUGCCCUCCAAACACCAGCACUGAGUAGAAAGAGGCUCUGAUUCAUGAAAUGUGAAUUUAUGACAGUUGCCACUCUUUAAAAAAAAACAGACAGAACUUGAGCAAUACAUGACUGAUGCAUUCUCAGCCUGCUUCCUGUGUUCCAUCUGUCUUUCUGGCAGUGCAUUCACCCUCCAGGUUCUAGUAUGUUAGGUUUAUGUUCCCCUGCUUUCUACAAUCCUGUUCAAAGAGUUGCUGACUUAACCACAGAGAGAAUUCCAGAACAUGAGACACAGAAUAAACUUGAACAAUCAUAGUCCAUCCACUUCAUUUUCUCAUCGAAAACCAAAGGUCCAGUGAGGCUCUGGAACUCGACGCUGUAAAGGAGCGAAGGAGCAUCUAUACAGAACCUGGAUGCCUGUCUCCUUAUCCUACUUCAGCGGACUUGACUGCAAUCCGGAUUAUGCUGUUUUCUAAGCAUUUAAAAUAAAA
rnacentral:antisense_RNA from 1 species